AAAAAUUCAGAGAAACUUUGAUUUCUUGCGGGUGUUAAUGGGGGAAGAAAGUGAAACUCAGUACUUAAGUUGAAAGAGAAGACUUGAUUGCUGAAGCCUGACGGAGGAUCGAAGCCUGCAAGCGACUCAUAGCUAGAAAAUUAUGCAAAAAAUGAAGAGGCUGAUAUUGAGGAGCUCAUCAAAGCAGUUGCAUAUCAGGUGGCAAAGUAAUUGUCAGUGGAACAGCAGUUGGAGAGAUGGGCACUACAUAUCUGCUCUUGGUGAUGAUAACUUGAACAGAGAUUUUGCUGUACAACAAUUGAAGCUUAGCCAGCCUGACACAAUGAUCAGGGAUAUGUUGACUAUCUUGGUUUAGGAAAUUGCUGGUCUUGGGGUCUAAGGACUAUUGAUAGUAUAUUAGAUGACCUUGAAAGGGAGAUUGAUAAUGGAGUGAACACUUACCAGGCAAUGUGGAAUGAUAGCCCCUAUUCUUCCUGCAGCUGCAGCUACUGAUAUAGAGUUAGCUAGGAGGGUGAAGGAAUUCUCCUUGAAGGAAACAGGAUGAUAUCACUAUGCUAUAGCAAAAUUUACAGAAAUUUUGAGAUGGUGUCUAAAGUUCUUCCCUGAGUAUUUGUUACUUUAUGCAAUGGAGAUCAUCUCUUCUAUAUAUGCUGAACCUGCAUCUGGAAAUACCAAACUUGGCACUGUCAUGGACAAAAGCAUUUGCAAAGAUGUGUCAACUUUAAAUGUUUGGGCAUAACUAAGUAAGCUUUGUUUGACUUGUAACCAUUCUUAUGUGAAGGUUUUCACUUAUUAUGCCUUGGUUCUGAAGAUUAAUUUGAAGGUUCUUUCCUCUUAAGUAUGCUGCAGUUGCUGCAUGCACUAUACUAGGAUAGACCAGGUAAUUUUGUAAUUAAGUAAGUAUUGGUAGUAGGGUUUUGUAGUUUUUGUGUAUCAGAGUUGGUGUUUAAAUCCCUAUUUGCAUCUUUGAGGCCAAAGCGGCAAAAAGGGAAUAGCUGCACCUGGUUUAGGCAUUGGUUGAGUAGUGGAUUAGUAGUCUAUUUCUCCUUUUCAUCUUUGCUCCUUCAAAAAUCCAUGCAGACUCAGAAUGGAGCUAGCAAUGGUACCUUUUUCAAAGAAAAAAUUUGAUAGUUAAUAGGCUGAUGCUUGGUCCUGUGGCAGCAAGAACUUACAUCCUGCACUUAUAUAUGACAUGGGACUGUAAAUUGACCUGUUUUGAAUCUCGAGCAAUUAAUAGAUUUUAAGUUCGCGCUGCUUUACUCAACCUCCAACUAAGUCAGUAAUGAGACAGUGGAAACCCAUCUUCUCACCUCUAUCCAUCCUUCCUCAACUCCUCCUAGAGGAGGUUCAGUUCCAGCGGUUCACUGGAUGCCGUCACUAGUAUGCUCGGACUUAAUCCCGCACCAAACCAUUCUAGCAACAUUGACUUUGAUGUACCCAAGGAGUGUAGGAAGAUUGCUGGGGUGUUCUUAGUGGGUAUUUGAAAUGCUAAAACUUUUUCUCUGUUUGUUUUCUUUUUGUCUAUAUAUUGAAGCUGUAGCAAACCCACAGUUCAUUUGAUUGCAAAUUGCAACCUUUUUUGUUGACUUUUUGGCAACAUGAUCAUGUUUACAUUUUCCGAAAGGGAUGGAGAACAAAGGAGAGACAUGGGUCACAGUGUCCUGUUGGUGAGGGAACAACUUGGUUGGGCGCUGGGUGCAAGCACACACUCUCUGUUGCUGGAACUGUCAUUUUUUUUUUUGUACAGACGUUCUGUUUCUACUCAUCCACUUUAUAGUUGCAGUCCUGCUAUCAAAGGACCCAAACAUUGUCAUCUAGAAAAUUUUGAAUUUUUAGUUUAAGUAUGGCAUCACUGCAUCAGUGCCCAGAGGUUGAUGGGGGAAAAUUUUAAUAUGGUUGGUUCGAUAGGCUUUCUGGCUUACUAGAUUGUUUAGUUCUAUCAGAUAGGUUAUAUGUUUUCCAAAAUGAACAAGUUAUCAUGCAUGUUGAAAAGGGCUUACUAGUUCCCGUUGAAAAGCUUUAGUCCUGAUUUCCGAAGAUCUAAUUGUUCAGCAAGGGUUUGUAUAAAUAAUUUAACGAUGAGGGAGAAGUGUAUGAUAAAGGAUAAAUUUCUGGCUGUCGAAUGGGUUUCUAAUCUCGCAUGGGAUCUGGGGCUUAUUUAUUUGCUAAUGACUUAUUUUGUGCACAGUGAUGGUUGUUAUCACGCUUUAUAUGCUCUCAGUAAUUAACUAAAUACUCGAGGACUUCCUAAAGAAGGAAGAUUCAUCAAGGGAAAUUAUUACUCUUACCGAAGGAUGAGGCAUAGGAUUACAAAUUGGUCAAACGAUACCUGCAAUUCAUGAAACUAUCCUUAUGUAUGUAUGCUUCUUUUGUUGCGAGUUGCACCUCGUAAUCAAGUCAGGUGGAAAUGUAGGAAAAGAGAAAGGUUAAGAACUAUGAUAAGUUAUGCACUCCAUCUCAUUCAAUAGUGAAGAAGGUAAAAUCAUUAAUCACGAGUUUAAUUCUUGGUGUUAAGAAAAGUACACUAGUGGAGUAGAGUAAAAUCUCUCGCAGUGAGUUUGGAAACUGAAUUCUGUAAUUAACUUUCCACCAUUUUGAUGGGGUUGAAGUUAAGAGAAAUGAUACAUCU